UUUUGUUUUCAUAGGAAUUGUAGAUUAAUUUAUGACCAUUAUACCCCUAUUGCUUUCUACUCUUCGAUUUUCAUGAUGCCCACAUAUUCCUUUAGAUUCUUUUUCUGAUAAUCCAAUUCUACAUGAAAUAAAAUGUAUCUGUGUCAGACAAAUUGAUAUAUUAUAUUAUAUUCAUAAAAUUUCCCCGAACCAAGACACCUCUUCUUCUUCUUUAUACGUUACUGUUCAUCACUUAAAUGAUAUAUAUCAGACAUAACUCUAUUUACUAUGUCUUAUUUGUGUUAAUUGUCCAAUCCAAAUAGAUCCAAGCGGCCGUAAUUAGGAAAGCUUUGGCUGUUCUAUAGUGGCUCGUUGGUUUAAGGCGGAGGCUCUGCUUGAGGGCGGUGGAGCAGACAACCGAUUCCGCAAGUCAAUCAUCGGGAUCCCUAAAGUUUGUCUCGAUUGUUGAGAGGUGCUCGUUUGACGGCGGAUCUAUCCAUAGAGAUGGCGGUUCUCCCGGUGACGACUGUUCGGACUUGUGAGAAGGUGGAGACCCUUCGCAAUCAACGGCGGAAGAGUUCGAGAGUCGGGUGUUCUUUAUGGCUCUGGUGUUAUGUGGCAGCGGGGCCCCUUUGAGAUGGCUUAGCUUUGAAGGUACACCGGUGAAGGUUCUAUUAGCUGGCACGGACACUCUGCUAUAGUGAUGUCCCGGAUAAAAUGAUAUGCUGGCAGCGGUGUCUGUCGCAGGUGGCGGCUCCGCCUCCUUCGUCUUCUUUCCCACAUCUCCUCUAGUUCGCUUUAGAUUUGUGUGUUUAAUUAGGUGUGUUUCUUCUUUUUUCCAUGUAACCUAGCAAUUUCCGUUUCAUCGGAGCUCCGGUCUAUUUAUGUUCAGAUUUCCCCCUAGGGGCUUGAUAUAUAUUUAAGAGAAAGUGGAGUUUUUUUUUAUUUU